GACGUAGGGCGCGAGCGUUGUCCGGAUUUAUUGGGCGUAAAGAGCUCGUAGGCGGCUUGUCGCGUCGUCCGUGAAAACCUGCAGCUCGACUGCAGGCUUGCGGUCGAUACGGGCAGGCUAGAGUUCGGUAGGGGAGACUGGAAUUCCUGGUGUAGCGGUGAAAUGCGCAGAUAUCAGGAGGAACACCGGUGGCGAAGGCGGGUCUCUGGGCCGAUACUGACGCUGAGGAGCGAAAGCGUGGGGAGCGAACAGG
rnacentral:rRNA from 1 species